AUUGAACGCUGGCGGCAUGCUUUACACAUGCAAGUCGAACGGUAACAGGCCGCAAGGUGCUGACGAGUGGCGAACGGGUGAGUAAUGCAUCGGAACGUGCCCAGUCGUGGGGGAUAACGCAGCGAAAGCUGCGCUAAUACCGCAUACGAUCUAUGGAUGAAAGCGGGGGACCGUAAGGCCUCGCGCGAUUGGAGCGGCCGAUGUCAGAUUAGGUAGUUGGUGGGGUAAAGGCUCACCAAGCCAACGAUCUGUAGCUGGUCUGAGAGGACGACCAGCCACACUGGAACUGAGACACGGUCCAGACUCCUACGGGAGGCAGCAGUGGGGAAUUUUGGACAAUGGGCGAAAGCCUGAUCCAGCCAUGCCGCGUGAGUGAAGAAGGCCUCGGUUGUAAGACUCUUCGGCUGGAGAAAUACGCACAGGCGUAAUACUCUGUGUGGAUGACGGUACCAGCACAAGAAGCACCGGCUAACUACG
rnacentral:rRNA from 1 species